AGUGAACGCUGGCGGCGUGCUUAGCACAUGCAAGUCGAACGAGAACGGAUUAUAGCUUGCUAUAAUUGUAAGUCUAAGUGGCGCACGGGCGAGUAAGGUAUUGAUACUAUGCCUUUUUCUAAGGGACAACAGUUGGAAGCGUCUGCUAAUACCCUAAUACCCUUUAAUACAACAGUACGCAAGGGAAAGGUUUAAUGGUAAAAGAUUAGUCUGUAUUGGAUCAGUUAGUUGGUGAGGUAAUGGCUCACCAAGACUAUGACGCGUAACUGGUUUGAGAGGAUGAUCAGUCACACUGGAACUGAGACACGGUCCAAACUCCUACGGGAGGCAGCAGUGGGGAAUAUUGCACAAUGGGGGAAACCCUGAUGCAGCAACGCCGCGUGGAGGAUGACGUAUUUCGGUGCGUAAACUCCCAUCAUAAAGGAAGAAAAUGACGGUACUAUAUGAAUAAGCACCGGCUAACUCCGUGCCAGCAGCCGCCGUAA
rnacentral:rRNA from 1 species